rnacentral:rRNA from 1 species
GAUGAACGCUGGCGGCGUGCUUAACACAUGCGAGUCGAACGGAAAGGCCAGUGCUUGCACUGGUACUCGAGUGGCGAACGGGUGAGUAACACGUGGGUGAUCUGCCCUGUACUUCGGGAUAAGCUUGGGAAACUGGGUCUAAUACCGGAUAGGACAACUUUUUGGAUAUUGUUGUGGAAAGCUUUUGCGGUAUGGGAUGAGCUCGCGGCCUAUCAGCUUGUUGGUGGGGUAAUGGCCUACCAAGGCGUCGACGGGUAGCCGGCCUGAGAGGGUGUACGGCCACAUUGGGACUGAGAUACGGCCCAGACUCCUACGGGAGGCAGCAGUGGGGAAUAUUGCACAAUGGGCGCAAGCCUGAUGCAGCGACGCCGCGUGGGGGAUGAAGGCCUUCGGGUUGUAAACUCCUUUCGCUAGGGACGAAGCGUAAGUGACGGUACCUGGAGAAGAAGCACCGGCUAACUACGUG